rfam:Caenorhabditis japonica strain DF5081 Contig18265.11, whole genome shotgun sequence.
GCCUGCGUGUAUAAUGCAUAGGUGACGAAUCACCUGUGUGGCAAGUUAAGCAACGUUGAGUCCAGUUAGUACUUGGAUCGGAGACGGCCUGGGAAUCCUGGAUGUUGUAAGCU